rnacentral:tRNA from 1 species
UGGUGUAGUGGUCCAGGACACCGCCCUUUCACGGCGGUAACAGGGGUUCGAACCCCCU